CCUCGGGUGGCAGCAGUAGGGAAUUCUGCGCAAUGGGCGAAAGCCUGACGCCGCACCGCCGCGUGAACGAUUAAGCCCUUCGGGGUGUAAAGUUCUGUCAGUAGGGACGAAACUUGACGGUACCUACAGAGGAAGCAACGGCUAACUCCGUGCCAGCAGCCGCGGUAAUACGGAGGGUGCAAGCGUUGUCCGGAAUCAUUGGGCGGAAAGAGUUCGUAGGUGGGAUAUUAAGUCUGGUGUUAAAUGCAGAAGCUCAACUUCUGUACGGCACUGGAUACUGGUAAGCUUGAAUGCGGUAGAGGUAAAGGGAAUUCCUGGUGUAGCGGUGAAAUGCUUAGAUAUCACGCAGAACCCCGAUUGCGAAGGCAGCCUGACAAGCCAUGACUGACGCUGAUGCACGAAAGCGUGGGGAUCAAACAGGAUUAGAUACCCUUGUAGUC
rnacentral:rRNA from 1 species